UUUUUUUGGUGGUUGUCAAAUUUCAUCUUCCCGUGUGCUUCAGCCUCAAUGCCAUGGGUGUGAAAUUUCAUCUUCUAGCGCGUUUCAGCCUCAACGUUUCCUCCUCCUCCUCCUCAGAAAGUUAAGAUGAGGGAAUAAUAAAGGGAUGGUGAAAAGGGUGAAAGGCAAUAUUGCAUGAAGAGAUGAGGUAUCUGCAUGUAAGAGGAACCACACAAGGAAUGAUAUAGAAGCAUAUCAUGCAGAAGAUAGCAUGUGGUGGCUCCUACUCACUGCCUUGGUACUCACAAUUCUCGACAAAUCCAAUCAGUAAACAUGAACAAUUGUACCAUGUUAUUUACAUUAUUUAUUUAUUUGCAGAGAGAAAUGUUUGAUAUGAUUCUCUAAGCUCAAUUGGGUGAGCUUUGUUUGUUUGUUCUUUCAUCUCUAUCCUCCAUUUUUGAAUCAGCAUUGGGUGGAUUGUAAGCUUUAAGUGGAGCUGUUGCAUUCUGAGCCACAACUUCAUUCUUACUUCCUUUCAAGGACUGAUCUCUUAUUCUUCAGACAUUAUUUAUCAAUGAAUGAGGUAAUGAAGUUCUUUCAGACCCAAUAAAGAGCCCAAACUCAGAGUUGCCAGUCGUAAAACUCUCUCUCCUGCUGCUUCCCUUUGGUGAAGAAAAGGACAGUGUAAACAUUAUUCAACAGUCCAAACAGAGUGGGUCAGGGACUCAGAAAUCACUUUUUGCGGCAUCUGUGUUGUUUAAACUUUAAGAAAUUAAAUGGCUUUUUCCAUAAAAACAAUCACAGGGACGGCAGAAAAUUUGGGCAAUCUCUUCACAGCCAGCCUGGUUUUUAUGCGAAAAUGGUUCCAUUUCAUCAAGCACGUAAACAAAUUGACUCAACAGUAUGAAUGCUUUUAUAUUUUGUAUCAUCAUCCAAAUUCAUGAUUUAAAGGAGUCCCUUAAUCACUGCGGGAGGCCUAAGGCGGCUCUCACUUGCCUGGCAUAUCUCAUAUUAAGAUACACCUAAACCUAAUCUUAUCUUCACUUUAUAAUUACACAAUCAUUGAAUCAAUUAUUGAUUCUCGGUGGAAGCAUUAUGAAAAAUAUUGUCUAUCAAUAAUAAGACUCGGCAAUCUUCAUAGACGUCAUUAUAAACUCGCAACCAGAGAGCCCGAGACAAAAU